UACGGGGGGAGCAAGCGUUGUUCGGAUUUACUGGGCGUAAAGGGCGCGUAGGCGGUCAGCACAAGUCAGUUGUGAAAUCUCCGAGCUUAACUCGGAAAGGUCAACUGAUACUGUGCGACUAGAGUGCGGAAGGGGCAAUUGGAAUUCUUGGUGUAGCGGUGAAAUGCGUAGAUAUCAAGAGGAACACCUGCGGCGAAGGCGGGUUGCUGGGCCGACACUGACGCUGAAGCGCGAAAGCCAGGGGAGCGAACGGG
rnacentral:rRNA from 1 species